UUGGAAGUGUGUUGCUCCGGUGAACAUCUCUGAGCGUUUCUUCCUGUGGUUUUGUCUUCCCGUGGAUUACUCUGGACUGUUUAUUCUCUUCGUGAUUAUUUGCUGCCUGUCCUGGACUGUUUUCUAUUGUGGACUGAUUUAUCAGAAAGACAGUGAAUCUGAAGACCCGAUGGAAGUGAAAGAGCAAAGACAAGAACUGAGAUAAAAGAUGAUGAUCCUGAGGUUUGUUUCAGCCUGUUGACCCCAAUAAAACGAUUUAAUGUGCCAAUUUACAGAAGAUCUCAGGCAUCACCGUAAUGAAUGAGCUGAAAACAGGGAACUUUCGGAGAGAAGAGGUUUUUCAGCUGCUCAGUUUAACAUGAUGACCCUGUACUUUUUAAAUG